rnacentral:rRNA from 1 species
UACGAAGGGUGCAAGCGUUAAUCGGAAUUACUGGGCGUAAAGCGCGCGUAGGUGGUUCAGUAAGUUGGAUGUGAAAUCCCCGGGCUCAACCCGGGAACUGCUUUCAAAACUGCUGAGCUAGAGUACGGUAGAGGGUGGUGGAAUUUCCUGUGUAGCGGUGAAAUGCGUAGAUAUAGGAAGGAACACCAGUGGCGAAGGCGACCACCUGGACUGAUACUGACACUGAGGUGCGAAAGCGUGGGGAGCAAACAGG